GUCUAUGGUCCUGCUACCCUGAAUAAGCCCGAUCCCAUCUGAUCUCAGAAGCUAAGCAGGGUCAGGCCUGGUAGUACUUGGAUGGGAGACCAUCUAGGAAGACCAGGUGCUGUAGGUG
rnacentral:rRNA from 1 species